AGCGAACGUUUGCGGCGGGCCUAACACAUGCAAGUCGAACGCACUAGCAAUAGUGAGUGGCGCACGGGUGCGUAACACGUGGGUAAUCAACCCUUCAGCCUGGGAUAACGACUCGAAAGGGUCGCUAAUACCGGAUACGGCGCGAGAGGCUUCGGCUUCUCACGAGAAAGCCACGCAAGGGGCACUGAAGGACGAGCCUGCGGCCCAUCAGCUAGUUGGUGAGGUAAGAGCUCACCAAGGCUAAGACGGGUAGCUGGUCUGAGAGGAUGAUCAGCCACACUGGAACUGAGACACGGUCCAGACUCCUACGGGAGGCAGCAGUGGGGAAUAUUGGACAAUGGGGAAACCCUGAUCCAGCUACGCCGCGUGGGUGAUGAAGGCCUCGGUUGUAAGUA
rnacentral:rRNA from 1 species